AACGAACGCUGGCGGCAUGCCUAACACAUGCAAGUCGAACGAGACCUUCGGGUCUAGUGGCGCACGGGUGCGUAACGCGUGGGAACCUGCCCUUAGGUUCGGAAUAACUCAGAGAAAUUUGAGCUAAUACCGGAUAAUGUCUUCGGACCAAAGAUUUAUCGCCUUUGGAUGGGCCCGCGUAGGAUUAGCUUGUUGGUGGGGUAAUGGCCUACCAAGGCGACGAUCCUUAGCUGGUCUGAGAGGAUGAUCAGCCACACUGGGACUGAGACACGGCCCAGACUCCUACGGGAGGCAGCAGUGGGGAAUAUUGGACAAUGGGCGAAAGCCUGAUCCAGCAAUGCCGCGUGAGUGAUGAAGGCCUUAGGGUUGUAAAGCUCUUUUACCAGGGAUGAUAAUGACAGUACCUGGAGAAUAAGCACCGGCUAACUCCGUG
rnacentral:rRNA from 1 species